UACGGAGGGGGCUAGCGUUGUUCGGAAUUACUGGGCGUAAAGCGCACGUAGGCGGCUUUGUAAGUUAGAGGUGAAAGCCCAGGGCUCAACCCUGGAAUUGCCUUUAAUACUGGCGACCUUGAGUAUGGCAGAGGUGUGUGGAACUCCGAGUGUAGAGGUGAAAUUCGUAGAUAUUCGGAAGAACACCAGUGGCGAAGGCGACACACUGGGCCAUUACUGACGCUGAGGCGCGAAAGCGUGGGGAGCAAACAGG
rnacentral:rRNA from 1 species